UACGAAGGGGGCUAGCGUUGCUCGGAAUCACUGGGCGUAAAGCGCACGUAGGCGGCUUUUUUAAGUCAGGGGUGAAAUCCUGGAGCUCAACUCCAGAACUGCCUUUGAUACUGGGAGCUCGAGUCCGGGAGAGGUGAGUGGAACUCCGAGUGUAGAGGUGAAAUUCGUAGAUAUUCGGAAGAACACCAGUGGCGAAGGCGGCUCACUGGCCCGGUACUGACGCUGAGGUGCGAAAGCGUGGGGAGCAAACAGG
rnacentral:rRNA from 1 species